CCUGUUAAGUUGCAGUCUUGGUUAGUUAUUCUUUAAUUGCCAAAGGUAAUAAAGGAUAAAAAAUACAAAAGAUGCUUCUUGUCUACCGUUGUGGUGGUUUACUUCUACUGAUACCGAGAUGCUGUUUUUCAUUUUAAAAUUUUUCUUUUGCAGGUUCCCAAACUUCUACGGUUUGAUUAAACUAAUAGCAGAAACAUGUGCUUCAAAGUUGGAACUUGAAGACUUGAAGAAACACAACACAGUCACCACACAGGUUAAUCCAUUUUUUUAAUCAUCAUCUUAAGCUGCAUUACAUUAAUUAUACUUAAUGAGUUGCACCAGAAGUGAUUAAGGGUGUGGAUCUUGAUUCGAUUUUGUGCAUUAGAGACAUUUUGCUACGGUAUUGUCCCCUUUGGUUGCUGUGUUUGGCCGUGCUUCGCGGCGUUUUGCUAGUCUAUAAGGAAGCAAUCUGCUUCUCUAAUUGGUUUUUCUAUUGAAAAGAGAACCUUUUUAUGAUUUGAUUAUUAUACAAGUUAACAAUUUAAUAAAGAGGAAGGAGAAGAAAAAGUUUUGAACCAUGUUGCUAAUCUAAUUGGUUUUAGAGUCAGCUUCUCUGUAUUUGAGGCUUUGUUUUCUUCCUUUUGGUCCUUCUCUGUGUUUGUGCUUUUAGAUCUCCAAGGGAAGAAGUUAAGUUAGUUGCAUAAAAGGAUCAAUUUGGUCCCCACUUCUCACACCCUCACUUCUUGGAACAUCCUCACUUGCUAUUUAAGGGAAUGGUUUUGGUUAUGGUUAGACUAAUUUGGAAGAAGUGGAGGUUGUGAUCCUUGAGACUUUUCGGUGGUCUUGCACUUAAUUGAUCUUUUGCUCUUCAAGAGUUUUUUUUUUCCUAGGGGAGAAGAUGAAGUUCAUGAAAAUUGGUUCAAAGCCAGAUUCGUUCAAAACUGAUGGGAACAAUGUCAGGU
rnacentral:lncRNA from 1 species